GCUGCUAUUUCUUCGUUCAUGAUUUUAAACCACACUUGCCGUUGAGCCGUACGAUCUAUUUCUUUGUACGGCGGCUGGCCUAUGUCUCGCCUGUCUUGUCACUGUAUUCAUCUCGGAGAGUUACGAGCACAAGUACCCCCAGAAUCUCAUUUUCCUGGGAGCUUUAACUUUGAUGGAGGGUCUCCCAAUUUGUGCGUUAUGUGUUGUUUUUGAUGGAAAGAUGGUGCUUCAGGCAUUAGGUCUAAUUGCUACCGCCUUCAGCUCCUUAACUGGGUACACUUUUUGGGCUGCUAGGAGGGGCAAGGACUUUAGCUUACAUGUGGCAAUCAUUUUCUUUUCCCUUGUUAUCCUUGCCGCUGCAACUGUGUCGCUGGUGAAUGAUCAACUUUCAUUUUUCCCACAUCCGUUUGGCCCAGCAUUACCAUUCCUCGGUGGACUUUUUCCAACGUUAUUGUUGGUUACUAGUACUGGCGGAUUUAUUAAGGAAUUACACUACAAUCAGCACUUAAGAGCCGCGGAGCAUGUCUUCUUAUACGUGACAAUUAUGUUCUUUCAUUUCGUGUUAUACAAAUACAUGAAAGUCAUGAAAGAUGUGACUGAGG
rnacentral:misc_RNA from 1 species